rnacentral:rRNA from 1 species
AUGGAGGCGGCAGGGAGCAUGGGAGCGAUAGCGGUGACUGGAUGCCAGGAGCUUGACGAGGUCCAUGCUGGCAGCACCCUCGCCCUCAACCUUACUGGCGGUGUGGCUGUACAAACGACGCCGAUAAAUCUUCUUUUCUGGACCGGCUUUGACGUGGCGGAACACAAGGGCUAUAUGACAGUCAACCAUGUCAUCGUGUACCAGACAAUCAAAUUAAUGUAUGAUGGGGCUAAAGAGCUUGCCCAAGGGGAAUCCGACUACUCAAAAUAUGCUAUUUUACCUGAUAAUCAGAUGGACAACAACACUUUGCCAGCAACGGCUGCUGUCCAGUUAAGAGCAAGUAUGUUUUGUUGCUGA